AGAAAAUGCAAACAUUAAAUGGUGUCGACAAUUUGACAAUUGAGUCAAACCGUCGAUUGGUGCAUUUACACAUAAACGGCAUUCAAAACUAUCGUUCCUGUGUGAAAUGACAAAAUGGGGUUUACGAACGUUGCUCGUUUUUAACAUGCCGAGGACAAUUAGGACUACUUAAAAACAAAAAAAAACACCUAGCAGCCUCCAAGCGUCGACACACUUUCUCUGGCCCGUACAAACGCCGGCAAUACGCUUUGCGUGUUAUUUACACUGUAGAAAAUGUCCGUAAAUUUCACAGUAAAAUACCGUAUAAAUGGUACAGAAUAAAACCGUAUUCCACAAAACAUGGGACGACCAUUGAUUUUACAGUGAAAAACCGUAAUUGCUUUUACAGAGUAUGACCUUACAUUUAACAGUUAAAAACAUAUCAAAAAGUACCGUAUAAAUGCUACAGGAUAAAACCGUCUUCCAAAAAACAUGUCAUAACUGUAAAAUACGGCUUAUUGCAGUUCAUUAACAAUAUACUAAGACACAUGAAUUUCUUACAUGUGCAAAAAACAUGUGAAAUGUGUGUUUUUGGAACAUUUUUCUGGCAAUCCCAUGUGACUUCAGAUUUCAAAGCCCAUAGUAUAAAUGUCCAACAUGUGAUGACACGUAAACAAAAUUUGAUCGUUACAUUAACAUCGUUACCAGAAAAACAUUAUGUCUUGGGCAAUUCCAGGUAAUUGCACAUUUUGACACGACAAGCCUCGCGCGGGACACAGCGAACACAUAUUUUGGAUUAUAGCGGGCCUGGAAGAACUGCUCAUAUUUGACCAAACCCUUGAUAGAGUUUAAAAGUGCUAAUAAUAUCUGCCUAGAUAUGCACUAGUAAGACGACAAAACGUUCUUAAAGGCGAGAUCUUUUGAGCACUGUAGCAUUGGUAUCGUUGGUGGUUGAACAAUCAUUUCAAACCAGACACAAUUUCAACAUGUUGGAUAGUAACCCUAAAAUGACAUUAAAGAGCUUCAAAUCUGGUAAACAUCUUUGAAUUCAAGUUUGCAGUGAACUCUGUUGCCGUGACACUUCUGCCGGCCCCAUUUAUUUCAUAUAUUUCCUCCCAGUAUGGCGGCGUAAGCAGAACUGGUCACGUGACUGCCAGACCUCUGUAGCACAUUGUGUAAGAGUAAGAAUCCGUUUUGGAUAUAUUAGCUUGUUAGCUAAUAGCUCAUUUCUAAUGUCGUAAACACGUUUGCUUUCAUUUCAAACAACAGUAGAGUGCUUUGAUUCUCUUUGAUGACCACCAUUAAGUAUACGUAAGACUAUGUUCCAAACAUAUUUCUCAGUCAUGCUUUCAAGUCAGAUAUUGACAUCUGUGUUACAGUAAAAGCCUUUUGUUCAUUUUGUAAGGUUAUGUGCAAUUAUUGCCCUCUUAACGGGUCUCAUUAAAAAUACAUCAACAUAUUUGACACCACUGUACAGUGUGCACUUGAAAAACACAACUCAGGAGACGGGACAUAAACAUUUCUCACAUUUUUGGUGCAACACUGUAUAGAAGGACUUUACAAUUGUUUGGUUCAAUUGUCUGCCUACGUCCACUUUAACAUUUGUACGUUUGAUUUGAAAAAUGGAAAUAUUCUUUUGCUGUAAUUAACAGCGCUUUUACAUUUUUUAUUAUUUUUUUUUAGGUUUGCCUGCUACGUUCCAUUGAAAGACACUUUGACGUGUUUAUUGGAGUCUGACCUAUGGCCAAAUUGUGCAAUUUACCACCUCAUAUAAGAUCAAAUACAGACCGCGUGUCACUUGUAAUGCUGUGUCGACAAAAACACUUUAAACACUUUGGCCAUGACAAAGUUUUGUCAAGGCUCAUUUCAGAAAGAAAAAAGUCAAAGGGACUGUUUUGUGCAUUGCAGGGGUCUCGUAAUAUUGUAAUAUGGUUUUACACAACAUUUUAGUUUUUCCCAAUAUUUCUGCAGGUAUUGCCGGAUGACACGAGCACAUUUUCAAACAGAUCCAAAUGCAUGUGGACCUCAGCGCACUCCUGAAAACUACCAAUCUGCAGUAGACAUUUUACAGUCUGAGGGACGACAAAACGUUGAAGGUGUAACAUCUGGCUCCAUUUUUCAUUCGCUGUUUAGGCCGUGACAUUUUUGAGCCCUUUACCUCAAGUACUCAAGUAUUCAGUUCUGAAUAGACGCAUUUUAAGUACAGUGCAGUGCAGUGAACUCCAACAGAGUAAGGCUUUCUGGUCAGGCUGUUCAGAACUGGACUUCUUCCUGCGAUCAUGUGUGACAAGGUCAAAGAGCCCAUGGAUGAUGUUUGGCAGUUGACCCUUCAACUAAAAGACAUUGUGGAGAUGAUUUGUGCGCAGAACAUUUCAUUGCCAGAGGUCGCAUACCUUCAUGUUCUUAUCCAAGAAUAUCUUGCUUGCACAUUCUCUCUCUUUCCAGGACAUGGACUAAAGCCUAAGCAUCACUACUUGAGAGCAAGCACGGUUACUUUAAAAGAUGCGCUAGAAACGUAAAGAAUUUCAAAAACCUGUGCUUCACUCUCUCUGAAAGGCAUCAAUUGUACCAGGCUUAUCUGUCAGAAGGGUCGAUGUGUGAGAGAGAAAAAAACACCACUGCAUAUAUUACCCACAGCUAUAUGCUGAUUCUGUUAAAGAUGCAGUGAGGCAGUUUGGAUUUACAGAGAACAAUACCAAAGUCUCAGCACAAGUCAUGUACAGGGGUACGCUAUAUACAAAAAAGGCCAGUUCCUUGUGACAAACCAUAUGGACUCAGUAGAGUUUGGAGAACUUGCACUUAUUUUCAUGAAAGAUAAAGUUGUUCAUUUUCUGCUGAGAAACUAUGUAACAGAGUUCAUUCCUGCAUACCAUUUGCGUGAAUUGAAAAAUCAGACCGAAAUAAUGCACUGUGUGAAAAUCAAUGACCUGGCACAUUUCUAUCCUUUAACAUCAUAUAUGACGAAUGGAAAAAAGGCUAAUUCCAUUAAAGCACAGUGUGAUGUCACGCUGAACAUGAUGGUCGAUCUGUAUUUUCUCAGAUUGUUUUGGUUGUUUUUCAGAAAUGGAUGAUUCAGAGCUAAACAUUUCAAACAUUAGCGAUGCCACUGAUGCUGUAUUACCUGAACUCCCAAUCGCAACUACAAAAAAUCUCUUGAGGACACCUUCAAAUCACUUGGAGUGGAGACCCCAGAAGAAAUCGGAUCUGGGAGCUGUACUGAGGCCCAUUCAAGCCAGGACAUUUAUUUCUGUUCUAAAGGAGACCAACAGCGUGAUUGGUCCUGGAUACUACUCCUUGGUCAAACUAUCUCAAGCCAGGGUCGAAAAAUGCAAGAAGGACCAGCACACCAAAAAUACAAAAAGCGCAUUCACGAUACAGACGAAUGUGACACUGAGGAAGUCACACCCGAAAAAAGAGCUGCAGUCCAAGAUACAUACGGCUGCGUUCAUUGGGAAGUUACAUUUAUGCCCCUCAGUGAAACUGCUGAGAGUUUCUCGUAAAGUCUACAUACUACAGUCAACGAAAAGAUAUCGACAAUGGAACGGACAUGAAAACUCUCACUGAGGAGAGGCCAUUUUUGUUUCAGGAAAGUGGAAUGGAAGUGCACUUUAAAGACCUCACAGGGACAGAAAAGGAAACAGGCUGUUGAACUUUACGAGGAAUCUUUGUGCAACCAGGAACAAGCGUGUCUUACGGGCUGUCACAAAACUUGAAGUUUUGAGAGGACAGACGAAUGGUCGCUCAGAGGAUGUGAAAGACACGAUUCUUCUACUUCUCUCCUAUUUUGAUGAGAAACAAGAGCUCCUUCUUCAUUAUGUACGAGAAGAGACAAGCCUUGCAAAGGAUGUAGAGUUGGACAACCUGCCUCCGACGCCUUGCAUUAUUGUGUGCGGACCCUCCUGCUAUGCUGCUGUUCGAUUUAUGCUCAGUGUGGACCGCAAGAUUGUGAAUCAUGACGUCACUGCAUUCAUCGCUGCCGUUUAAAUGCCUAACGUUGGGCAGUUAUUACUGUUUCAGUACACACCACCCUACUGAACUGGCAUCAGUGCUUGAAUUUUUGCAAACGUGCUUCUUCAUCAUCAAUCCUGAAAAGGGCACAAAGGUCGUGGAAAAGAAGAACAAAAAACGACUCCCAGUGAACCCAAGAGUCUUCACCUUCAUCUCUGACCUUUCUGAUCACGAGUGGCGAGAGACCUCGCAAAGGUGGCCUGCGACGGAAACGGUUUCCAUGUUUAAACUCUUGUUAAACGUUGAAAUGUAUACUCUCUAAGCACUUGUGUUGUGCUUUGUUCUGCUUUAGUAGUUAUUAUUGUAAAUAUUCGACAACCUUUAUAUAUUCCCAAGCUCAGUUUGAAGUGGCAGUUAGGGAACAGAAACUCUGAAUCUACAUUUUAAAUGCGUAGUCUGAUGCUGAUUUUAAGACUGAUCUUAAGCCAUUGUUUACUUCUGAUAAAAUGUUCUGAUAAUGUUGUUUGAAAUGCCUGCCAGUCUUCAUUAAAAAUACUUGGGACCGCUUGA